rnacentral:lncRNA from 1 species
GUACAAAUGUACAUAUUUAUUUUUAUAUUUAUUUUUGUAUCGCCUGCAUAGAACAUUGCAGAAUGCAAAACAAAAUCCGGUGACAGGGAACUGGGCAUACGGGUUUUGUGUAAAGUUUUAUAUUUCAGAAGGUAUUAUACGCUGACUUGAAUGCUUUUACAAAGUUUACUAAGUUUCUUUUGUAUAUAUACACCUGGACAUAGUAUUGCAACACUUUCAUUGAAAAUAAUGUGAAACAUUACUUUUAUAAAAUGUCGGUAUAGAAGACAAGACAAAGUUUGAAUCACUUUUUCAGUACAGCUCUAAUGAUGUGUCUCUGAUCUCUAGUCUUAAUUUUGCCUGAAAUGUAAGUUGAUAACAUAAAUUCAAUUUUAAACCAUAUAUGGAUUAAAAGAAUUUGGUGAAACCUAAAUUAUUCACAUUCUACACCGUCUUCAAUGGAAGUGUUGCAAUACUUUUUUCCAGGUGUAGUUCUUGACUACGCAACUGCUUACUAGACAACUUGUUUUUUUUUCUACUUUAUUUUCACCGGUCAUUGGUCAUAAUUUCGUUGUUUUAGUUUGUUUAAUGGAUAUUGUAAGCAGUUGAUGUGUGACAUUAUUGAAAAAUGCAAAUGUCUAUCUUGCAGGGUCAUUGUUAUGGCUUAUUGGUCAAUGUGGUCAAUACUGGUAAAGGUUUUUAUGGUUAGGUCUGUUUCUCAUAUACUAGAAGCAAUAGGUAUAAUAUAUUUGAUGAAUGGAAUGAUUGCAAGAUGUUCUUUCCUGUAUGAAAGGAUUUUUCUUUAAUGUUUUCAUGAUAAAAAAAAAAUGUGUAUGCAAUGAAGCAAAAGCUUUAUGACAUUUACCUCUUGUUCAGUGUUCACUGGCCAAUGUUAAGUUGUGUGGUGAGUGUACGGAAUGAUUUUCUGGUGACAGAGUGCAUUUGACAGUGACAUCAUUUAAUCAUAUAUGUAAUGUUUAAUUAAUGAUUACAAAAACCAUCAACACGUUUUAGUGUAUGCUCUCUUGUGACCUCAGAUAACAUAAUACUGUAUAUUGUAUUUUCAUGUUUUAUUGUGCCAUAUAUGUAUAUAAGAU